ensembl:lncRNA
UAUGCAGAGUAUACCCACCCUCCCGUAUGAAUCGAACAAGCAACAUUUGUGUGUGUAUGUGUAAAGUCAUGCCACAUCACUUUAAAAGGGGCACUGAUGAGGUACAGUUUUGAUCUCAGAUAGCUCAGCUUUUCAGUCCAACCAGCGCUGUUACAUUUUUCUCAGCCUGACAAGUAUCUGCAGGACUCUGGCUUCUGAUGUGCUUCAGCAUUAAAGCACUCCUUGUAAUCACAGGAGAUUUUGAUGUUGUAGUUUACCCCUACAAGUACGGGCUCCUCCUUAACAUCCGGGUUUCUCUUGGAUUAUGUGUAAUGAUGAAAUAGGCCCAAAAUCAUAUAAAGCUGAAAUAGCAAGUUUAUAACAAAGGGUUACAUUCAAAAAAAAAAAAAAGGCUUUACAAAUUUAGAACAAAAGCUGUCUCUGGAUGACUAGUCACAUGGUAGCGCUUGUUGCUUUAUAUGCCCUAUUUAUAUACCCUAUCUUCCUCGGACAGAAAUGUCCUAGCAGGGAGGGGAGGAGAAAGGAUUUGAACAGCUCCUUGUCCUGGCCAGUAUGAGGUCAUUUGUGGUCUUCUACCUUUGGUCACAGCUCACGCCUCACCUCUGUCAUGAAACUCUUCCAGAACAGAGGCAUUCCCACCUCUGAUGCUGGCCCGUGGGGACUCACGCAGACGGAGGACUUGGAGCCAAGAAGCCCUGAUACACGCUGUGUGCCCUGCUCAGCCCUUGCAGACCCUCAGUGUGGACCCAUCUCUAGAAAUGAUGCUGCAGAGCUGUAACACCGCCUGUUAGCUGUCUAAAAAAAUCUGUGUGGAAGUAGGACUUCCAAAUGGCAAUUCGAGUUUCUGAGAUAGUGCACAGGAGCCAGAAAACUGCUGAGGUCCAAUUCAUGAUGUUUUCUGUUUUACAAUCAAAUAACUCAAUUGUUUUAGCAGGUUUCCUAAGAAAACAACAUGGUUUUGAUUAGACUGUCUGAUCAUCUGUCUGUCAUUCCUUCUGCCCCAGUCCCUUUUUUAAAACCCCAUGGCCAAUUUCCAAGCACUUAAGCCUCGAAGAUGACUGUAUUCUCAUAGCUGGACUAAGAAUUGGCAGCUGGAUGAGGAGGGAGACCAAAAUUCUUGCUGCGACUGAAAGAAAAACAGGCACAGCUCAGCUGCUAUGAAUACUGCUAGCAGCUGGCUGGCUGACCAGCACCCAUGUAAAUCCGGUUUGCAAAGCUUUUGCCCCACUGGGAUAUUAGCAAGGACAAAGGGCACCAAUCUCAAGGAAAUUAAGUUUCAUACACACAUUCUGUGGGCCAAAGCCAACUUGUUUUAAAUAUCAAAGCACAAUUCUUUCACUUCCAAAUGUGAAGUUCAUCCAGGAACAAUACAGAAAUACUGUGCUUGUAAAUUCAGAUAGAGCAAGGAAUUGAGGCUCCCAGCUUCACGCUGGGUUGCUAACUUGCUGCUCAUUCCAUACUUAGCUGAAAUGAAUGAAAUCAUCCAUAAUCCCAGAUCUGUGCUGAUAGAUCCCAAGCACCAUCAUUCCUAGAAUCCUGCUGGCACAGGAUCUGGCAUCCUUCCUGAACCCUGAAGCUCAUGGGGAAAACAGGUUCAUGGCAGAUGAGCUUCUGCAAUGAAACAGAUACUGUGAAUGAUGUUUCAUGUGAAGGAAAUUAAGUAACUAGCUGUCUAAAGACCAUUGUUAGAACUGUGGGUUUUUUUUCCCUACUGGACAGUUUCUACCCAUGGCUGGUCACUAACCCUUUAUCAUAGCAUGUAACUCUAUAUUCAUUUC